GUGCUCGCUUUAGCAUCAUAUACUGAAAUUGGAACGAUACAGAGAAGAUUAGCAUGGCCCCCUGCGGAACGAUGACAUGCAAAUUCGUGAAGUGUUCCAUAAAUUA